GUGUCAGCCGCCGCGGUAAUACGGAGGGGGUUAGCGUUGUUCGGAAUUACUGGGCGUAAAGCGCGCGUAGGCGGAUCAGAAAGUUGGGGGUGAAAUCCCGGGGCUCAACCUCGGAACUGCCUCCAAAACUCCUGGUCUUGGGUUCGAGAGAGGUGAGUGGAAUUCCGAGUGUAGAGGUGAAAUUCGUAGAUAUUCGGAGGAACACCAGUGGCGAAGGCGGCUCACUGGCUCGAUACUGACGCUGAGGUGCGAAAGUGUGGGGAGCAAACAGGAUUAGAAACCCGGGUAGUCC
rnacentral:rRNA from 1 species